UUGGUGGGCAUGCUGUGCAAAACUGGUGUUUGCUCAGAAUGUUGCCUGUCUUGAUUGGAGACAAAAUACAAAAUCCAGAUGACAACGAAAUAUGGCAGUUGGUUUUACAACUUAGAGAAGUUGUGGACCUCAUUUGUGCACCAGCGAUUUCAACUGGUCAGAUAGCCUAUCUAAGAGUUCUGACUGAUGAAUAUUUGCAUUGUCGAAAGCAAGCCUUUCCUGACCAUCCACUAAAGCCCAAACAUCAUUAUGUCAGUCAUUAUCCAGAGCUCAUUGUCCAGUUUGGGCCACUUAUCCGUCUAUGGACAUUAAGAUUCGAGAGCAAACACACAUAUUUUAAGCAGUGUUUGAGAAAACUACGUAACUUUAAGAAUCCAUGUGCUACUCUUGCAGAGAGACAUCAACUUCUGCAGGCCUUUCUGAGUGCUGGCAUCUUCUUCCCUCCAGCUGUUUUUGCUGAGAAGGGGACACAGUUUUUCUCAGAAUGGCCAACUUGAGUGAGGAAAUCAAAGAGAUCAUCUGCAAGACCUUGCCAAAUCUCUCUGAAGAGGGCCAGUGGCAGAUAAUAUCAAAGCUUCAGAGCUCUGGUUUGGAGUCAAAAGAAGAUUUAAAAUAUGUACAGCAGGAAGACAUUGCCGAUCUGUUACCUGUCAUUCAGCUCAGAAAACUCCUGAAUGCCUUCAAAUUAGAGACCGAGAUAGUUACGCUGGAUGUCCAAUCUCUUCCAACUUCUUCACCAAUGAGUAGUGUGUCGUCUCUCUCUGAGUCUCCAUAUUCAUCAGGCACUCCACCUCAUUCUGGCACAUCACAUGUGUCGGCCACUGCAUUAUUCUCAAGCCAGACAGGAGACAGCGAUCCAAGCAGCA